rnacentral:rRNA from 1 species
AUUGAACGCUGGCGGCAUGCCUUACACAUGCAAGUCGAACGGCAGCACGGGUGCUUGCACCUGGUGGCGAGUGGCGAACGGGUGAGUAAUACAUCGGAACAUGUCCUGUAGUGGGGGAUAGCCCGGCGAAAGCCGGAUUAAUACCGCAUACGAUCCACGGAUGAAAGCGGGGGACCUUCGGGCCUCGCGCUAUAGGGUUGGCCGAUGGCUGAUUAGCUAGUUGGUGGGGUAAAGGCCUACCAAGGCGACGAUCAGUAGCUGGUCUGAGAGGACGACCAGCCACACUGGGACUGAGACACGGCCCAGACUCCUACGGGAGGCAGCAGUGUGGAAUUUUGGACAAUGGGCGAAAGCCUGAUCCAGCAAUGCCGCGUGUGUGAAGAAGGCCUUCGGGUUGUAAAGCACUUUUGUCCGGAAAGAAAUCCUUGACUCUAAUACAGUCGGGGGAUGACGGUACCGGAAGAAUAAGCACCGGCUAACUACGCG